GUCUAUGCCUAUACCUCCCUGAAUGUACCCGAUCUCAUCUGAUCUUGGAAGCUAAGUAGGGUCGAACCUGGUUAGUACUUGGGUGCGAGACAAGAACACUGAGAUCUGCCUGUAUACAGGAAAGAGACU
ensembl:rRNA 5S_rRNA 5S ribosomal RNA